rnacentral:rRNA from 1 species
AUCCUGGCUCAGAUUAAACGCUGGCGGCAUGCCUUACACAUGCAAGUCGAACGGCAGCACGGGGGCAACCCUGGCGGCGAGUGGCGGACGGGUGAGUAACACAUCGGAACGUGCCCUGGAGUGGGGGAUAACGCAGCGAAAGCUACGCUAAUACCGCAUAUUCUGUGAGCAGGAAAGCAGGGGAUCGCAAGACCUUGCGCUUUGGGAGCGGCCGAUGUCGGAUUAGCUAGUUGGUGGGGUAAAGGCUUACCAAGGCGACGAUCCGUAGCGGGUCUGAGAGGAUGAUCCGCCACACUGGGACUGAGACACGGCCCAGACUCCUACGGGAGGCAGCAGUGGGGAAUUUUGGACAAUGGGCGGAAGCCUGAUCCAGCCAUGCCGCGUGAGUGAAGAAGGCCUUCGGGUUGUAAAGCUCUUUCGGUGGGGAAGAAAUUGCUUGGGUUAAUACCCUGAGUAGAUGACGGUACCUGCACAAGAAGCACCGGCUAACUACGUG